GUAAGUAAAAGUUCACAUGCUGGAGUAUGAUGCUGAGGUAAGGAAAGGAUGCUAUGGCAAAUACUGUGACCAGAGAAUCAAAAAAGAGCUAGAUAAGUUCAUGGAGGAUAGGUCCAUUAAUGGCUAUUAACCAAGAUGGGUAGGGAUGAAAAACCAUGCACUGAGAAGUGUCCCUAGCCUCUGUUUCCCAGAAGCUGGGAAUAGGCCACAGGGGGAUGGAUCACUUGAUCAAUACAGGAUACUGGGCUAGAUGGACCUUUGAUCUGAC